UUUUUAGGAAUUUUUCGAAUGCCCUGGUCCUGACGAUCCCCCGGAGUAUACAUUGUGCUGCGAGGAAAAAUGCUGUCCGUUGAUCCAUGUUGACUCUGUGAUGGGUGUGGAUAUAAAGGUAGCAAUGGUGAUUUCUCUCACAGUCAUCAUUCUUUGCUUCAUCCUAGGGAUUACAAUAAUAGUCUGUUGCUUCUGGUCUCCCUGUCCUAUGUAUGAUACCUGUGGUGGUGGAUAUAAAAGGAAGGAGGGCACUGUCCCUUUUGGUGAAUAUGACAGUCGAGACACCGAUCCAUUGACAAGGAAACAAAUAUGGAAAAUAU